AAAAUAAUCGUACCUCGUAGAAACCGCACCUGUGUGACUGGUCGUGUGAUUGAUGUGUACCAUUUCCUGUCUGAGUUCGUUUUCUGUACUGAAUAAGUGAUUUUAUUGGGGACUCAAAGAAAAAAGAUAACACAUCGGUGGAUAGUGCACGAGCUAGACCUGUUAUGACAUCAUUUCCGGUCUAGGAAGGGAGAUAACCAUAGAUAGAGCUGACUAACCAAUCAUUUACUUCUAUUUGGUCACGAGGUCAUGUCUACAUACAAAGAGUACAAAGCACGGAAGGAAGCGAAAGAACAUGAACUCGGUCCACACAGUCACGAAGACUCUGUCGAAGAUGAAGAUAGUUGGUUUCGGCGACGGCAAGACCGAGAGCGGUACCACACAACCGCCGUGGACCAGUCCACCUUAAACAGUCUCCGGUCUUCGUCCCCAAUCCACAAAUCCUCCUCCCCCUCCAGCAUAAUGACCACGUCCACGAACAGCGGCAAACUCGCCCAGGAGAUUCAUGAUGAGUUCCUCACAUGUAAGAUAUGCCUGGAGGGGUACAAGAGUCCAAAAUGCCUGGAUUGCCUCCACACCUUCUGUGAGCAGUGUAUUGACAAUCAUGUCAUGUCGGAAUGUACGUACAAAAAGUACAGCGAUUAUCGAGAGUUCACUUGCCCGCUCUGCCGUAAGCGAACCCAGUUGCCCAUCGGUGGGGUAAAAAAGCUUCCAGAUAACUUCCUGGUUUCCAACCUUUCGGAGCUUGUCGUUCGACAGCGGCCUUCUAAGUUUCCUUUCUGCGACAUCUGUAAACUUGUUAACCGGAAGCACCGCGAAGCGGCCUCAAAAUGUUUGGAUUGCAACAAGUUGCUGUGUAAAACAUGCGUCGAACUUCAUCGAGAGACGAAGGUCACGAAGAACCACAGCAUUUUCGACUGCGAUAUUGAGAAAGAUAUUGAAUGUAAGGAACACAAGGAGGAAGCGGUCAGAUUUUACUGUGAGCCAUGUGAAACAUGCAUUUGUGUUCUCUGUACUUUUAAUGAACACAAAGAUCACGAAAUAACGUCCUUUGCCGAUGCGGUUGUGAAGUACAAGGAGAAUAUACAGACACUGUUGGACAGUUGCAAGUCAAAGAUUGAUCUGUAUGAUACACAGUUAGGAACCCUCGGCAAAUGCGAAAUCCUGAUCAAAUCUGCUGAACAGAAAAUUCGUGAUACUGCUAUACAAUUUAUAGCCGAUGUCCGUGCCAGAGAAAAGGAACUGAUUGAUGAUUUACACUCGUUAUAUGGUGCGGACUUAAUGAAACACGUUGACAAAAGAGACGAAUUGCAGAUAAAUCUUGAAGGAUUAAAGAGUACGUGCAGUUUAACUGAAAUUGUACUCAAAGGAAAGGAUAUAGAACUGUUGCUGCUUAAGAAACAGGUUCAGGAAAAGUUGACAACUUUGGGGAACAUUGAGCUGAGCCAUUUACCAGACAGCGUUACGAAAGAAGUCACUUUCAAUGCAGGGUCAUUGGAUCUUGGGACACUUGAGGACCUUGGAACCCCGCGUCAGAGCAUGAACCGUACUCUCUCAAUGCCGGGAACCAUGCGAAAAGGGAACAGCAGGUCUGCAUCCGUUCAAACUGAGAAAGAAGAACCGCCUCCAAAGCCAAAACAAGUGGAAAAGUAUAUUCAGACAGAAAUAGAAGAGAAGAAAGAAGAGUCGGAUUCCGAUAGCGUAUUUUCGAGCCACGAGGAAAAGUCCACGGAAACUGAGGCAGUGGAGACCGUGGAGAAGGGUGUCAACACGCGUUCACGCAGCCUGCAACAUUCUGUUCAGUCGAGUAGCUCCGUUGACACAACGGAGGGACAAAACGGAUAUCAGGAUGCACCGUCGUCUCCAUCCCAGCAGAGACGUCACCGCCGCAGGCGUGAGCGCAGUCGACAAGAGGUAUCAGGCCCAAUGACAGCAACCAUUACUAACGUUGAGCCGCAAGUUCCCAUCAGCCGGGGCCCGGCUCUUUCUUAUAGUAGUAGCAUUGACGAUAAUACCUAUUCACCGGACGGAGGUAAUACGGUUACAACGGGGCAAUAUAAGUCUUUUCGUGCCUAUCCUAUAGACUCUCCCGAUGCCCCUGAUUUUGGAUUUUGAUAUAUAUAUACCUCUAUAUUCAAUGAUUAUUUCGUCUGCUCUUUCACACCUGGGAAUGCCUUGAGCACAUAUUUCAUCCCUAUUAUUUGGAGUACGUGUGUAUCUGAUGUGUUGUAUUCCCUUGAGCCUGUCUGGUGUGUCUAUUCAUAUUCUGUGUGUUUCUGAUAUUCAUUAAGCAUUCAUAAUGCAUAUGAGUGAUCGUUUCGUUCGAUGGUGUUCGUUGUCCUUAUACAGAAAGUCGCCUUCACACCACCCCGUGUAUCAUUACCCUCAACCAUGUGGUAACUGUACCUUUACUUUAAAUUAGUAUGUGUUCAGUCUGAAACCUAUACGUUUAUUUAGUGUAAUAUUAGUGUUCAAAUCAUCAAUCGUUUCCAGUCCCAGCAUGAUAACUAUUGUGGACAUCACAUUCAUUUUCGUAUCCCUCCUUCAAUAUACUAGUUUCUAAGCUAGAGCAAGCUUAAAUAGAAAAUAACUGCUAAAGGGUUGUAUUUUAUCGUGAUUCUAUCCCGUAGAAUUAAAAUGAUGUUGUAAAUCGUGACUACUUACCUAACCUCCGUCCAGGUGUAAAACAAAUGCAUCUUGAUGCUCAUCGGCUACGACGAAGCUGCAAUGAUGACGUGUUGUAAUAUGUGACGUCAUGUUCUGCUGCGUGAAGCCAUGCUUUCGCAAUGUAGUGUCUUAUAGAAUGUGUGUCUAGCAUAUAUGUAUCAUGCGUUUGUGAGUAAUUGAAACUAAACAACAAUAUGUGAAAAGUUGGACUGGCCAGAUGUGUCGAGGACUGAUGAACUGCUUACAUCAGGGAAACGCUGGCAGCAAACAUUAAAGCCUUUUAAAGUCAAAAAAGUGCAACCUUGCGUAAAAUCGCAAAGUAUCGCAUCAUAACGCGGGAAGGAUAUUGUCAAGCUAAUGAUGGAGCAAAGUCAGUGACCGGAACAAAAAAAAACUUUCAAAAACUCAAUAAACAAACACCCUACAAUGCAACAAAAUGUGUUCACUAUUUGACAUGGACUUUUUCAGACAAGUCAAAGCCCCCCGAGCGAGCCACGACCCUUGCUUACUUCAGCUUCGGGAGCCCCAAUUCCUAGGUACCACAAAAGUUCCUUUGCUUCAUAUCGCAUGCCUUAAUUGGCAGGCAAAAACAUGCUAAUGUGGUAUGUGAGGGUCUGUGCAUAAAGUGGUGCUGCGGGCAAUCAGUUGUUGACAUAUUUAAGGUUUAUCUAUCAAUUAUGUAUAAAAAUAAGGAUUUACCAUAAAAUUAUAUUCCCACCAUUUGUGAAUAAUAUAAAUAAGCUUCAUUAGUGCUUUUUCACCAUUUUUUCCAUUUUCUGUUUAGACAAUGUAUAGGAAAUUUUAAUUUAUGUCUUAAAUUGCAAUCCAUGAUUGUCCUGAGUUUUAAAUGUUUUAAUUUAAAACUCGUAAAGAAGUGUGCAAACUAAGAAAAUUUGUUUCCAGCUGGUGUAUUUUGCUUUUAUAGAUUUGAAGUUGAAAGGAAGAUAACUUAAACUAUACCCACAUUCUAUCUAUUUAUGCUUUACAACUAAUGAAAUGUAUAUUCUGCUUACAAAUAUUCUUAGAUAGUAAACUAUGAUUUAUAAUCAUAUAUCAUUGACGAAUUUAGAAGACACACAUAUUGACACAUAUACUUUUUGUCAUUUUUGGUUGAUAAAAACUUCCAUUUCAUACUGCACUUUUGUUAAUAUUUCAUUUCAUGAAAUGUAUUAGUUAAAGUAGUUUCUGCACACAUAGCAUUCGUUUCGUUUCUCGGAUAAAACGGUUGUCUUAUGAAUAGUUAAAUAUGCAUUCGGCAAGUCAAAAAGUGUGAUAUUGUGCCGAAAUAUAUGUUUGAAGAUUAACAAAUUAUUUUGUGCAAAGGUGUACCAACCGGACCUCCAAAAGCUAUUUCCAAUACACUUUACAAUUGGCGGAAUUGCUUUAAACUGCUUAACCUCGCUAAAAUUUCAUUGAAUUGUUUUAGCUUCAUUUACUGUUUUAUUGUUUGACAAUGCAUUGUACUCAAUCAGUUUUAGCGAAUCAUGUAUAAACUUACCGAUUGUCUAUUUUUAAUACAUCUUAGGUAGCAAGGAACUUUGUCUUUUCACCCACAUCAGUGUUCAGAUCGUCUAUGUAAACCCCUUUCUAAAUUCGCGCAUGUACCAUGUUCUGUAGUUUAUGAUUUGCUUUGCAAUACCCUUGUGAUUGAAAUUAUACACUUGCUUAAAGCGCUCGUGUAUAAUUUCAAUAUCAAGGGUUGUGUGUGGAUUACCUAUUACUUUGGUAACUACAUAACAACAUACACCAAAGUUUCUACCGUAUGUGAAACAUUCUACACACAAAAAAUCUCAUGCGUCUCGGCAAAUGUCAUUAAACCAGAUAUUCCUCAGGCUGACAGUAUGUAAGCAUUCUUCUAUAUUGUUUUGCGUCUAAACGAAAGCAGGUAGAACCGACAACAGCUAAACUAAAGGAGGAUUUACAAUGAACCCAGCUUUGAGUACUUUCAGUGCUUUGAUUUUAGUGAAUGUACACAAGUGUUUGUUUUCUCUCUAUUUCACGCGUAUCUCUAUACUUUAAUGUCGUAUAGCGAUUUCUCAACCGAUAAGAAAGAGGGAAAUGUAUCUGUAAUCAUAAUAGAUAAAAAGCACACACAUUGAGAUUUUAUCAUAUUUGUCGAUUAGUUUACGUUGCUUAGUGUCAGUAUAUAAUACAUUUAAUAGUCAGUGUUCGGUAGACAAAAUUACUAUCUGCAUUAUGUUUUGCAUUUUAAAAAUAUUGAUAUGUAAAUCAUAUGUAAAAAUAUUAUAUAUAGUGAUUGGUUACUCGAUGUAUCAAAACAUGUACAGAUCGUGUUAUAAUGAUAAUGAUAAUAAUAUAAAUCAUGCGUUAAUAAAUUGCUUUUCAACA